UUAAUUAAUGAGAACAAGUAAUAUAAGAGAAUUCGUAAAGAACUUUCUAGUUCUUUAAUAUUUACCCAUGUAAAUUCUCUAUUAUUGUUGCACAUCAUACUUAAAUUGAUAUGGCUAAUCCGAAUGUCAAUUGAAUAAAUUAUCAAUAUUGAUAAGUUCAUGUUUAUACAUGACAUGUGCAAUUCUCAAUAAACUCCAAGUUUAUUAUGAUAUGGAUUUUUAUAUCAAUUAACAUCCACUUUAUUGUGGCAUUCUUUUGUUUGUGUAGUACAAACUGGAGAAUAAAGCGGCUAGCUUUUCAUAUACAGAUUAUCCCGCUACAAGUUGUAGUA
rnacentral:lncRNA from 1 species